rnacentral:hammerhead_ribozyme from 1 species
ACCCUGCUGACGAGUCCCAAACAGGACGAACUGCGCAUCCUAGAU